rfam:Alternaria alternata strain SRC1lrK2f unplaced genomic scaffold CC77scaffold_16, whole genome shotgun sequence.
GUCUCGGUGGCGCAAUGGUAGCGCGUUGGACUUCUACUAACUGUAUCCAUGGUUAAUCCAAAGGCUGCGGGUUCGAGCCCCGCCCGAGAUG